rnacentral:rRNA from 1 species
GAUGAACGCUGGCGGCGUGCCUAAUACAUGCAAGUCGAGCGAACGGACGAGAAGCUUGCUUCUCUGAUGUUAGCGGCGGACGGGUGAGUAACACGUGGAUAACCUACCUAUAUGACUGGGAUAACUUCGGGAAACCGGAGCUAAUACCGGAUAAUAUUUUGAACCGCAUGGUUCAAAAGUGAAAGACGGUCUUGCUGUCACUUAUAGAUGGAUCCGCGCUGCAUUAGCUAGUUGGUAAGGUAACGGCUUACCAAGGCAACGAUGCAUAGCCGACCUGAGAGGGUGAUCGGCGACCCUGGAACGGGAACACGGUCAAGACUCCUACGGGAGGCAGCAGUAGGGAAUCUUCCGCAAUGGGCGAAAGCCUGACGGAGCAACGCCGCGUGAGUUAUGAAGGUCUUCGGAUCGUAAAACUCUGUUAUUAGUGAAGAACAUAUGUGUAAGGAACUGUGCACAUCUUGACGGUACCUAAUCAGAAAGCCACGGCUAACUACGUG